UGCCGGAGGGCCAGCCUCGGGCCGUUGCCUCGGGCGCCGCCUGCAUGGAUGCAAGCCGAGGGCUACGACGUCGCCUCUGCCCGGGCCGUGGACCGCGCUGCCGCGCGCCUGAGGGCAUCGCCAUGCCUGGCACCGGCUGUUGGCCGCUGCGGCCGCCUCCAGGUGUAGCGCUGGGAGCAGCCGGGCCAAAGGAUGCUGCCGCUCCGCUAGGAGGCUAGCCGAGGGAGCGCAGUCCGGGCCAUGGGUCGCUGCCGAAGUUUGCCUUGGACGGCAUUCAAACGACGCCCUGGAGAUCGAAAGACUUGCCGCGCCUGGGUGGGUGCUGGCCGCCGCCGUCUUCGCCGACCGCCAUGGCGCGCGGAGAUGCAUCAUGCGCCGCCAUGGCGUGGGGGCCGUGGCCGGUAGCCGCUAGGAGCCACGGAUGCUUGUGUAGCCGCAGGAGCCGAACAUCGGAUCCUGGCUCGCCGCAUCGGCCUCUGGGGCCGAGGGGCGCCGUGCACCACACACAGGCCGGAGGGAGCGUCACUGCGGAGGGCCGGCCGUCUCGCAGCACCUUGUGCCACAUCCGCCGCCGUUCUUCCGCUAUGGCCUAUUUCUCUAAUCGAGAGCAGAGUGCGUGAUAACGUGUUCGAGAUCAACAUAACAAAUGAUCGAACUAUCUCUUUGCAUUAGAUGAAGUGCUAUAUAUAGCACUGGAAUAGGCGUUUACAAAGGGGGUGUCGGUUCGACAGAACCGACGCAAUGGUUGGAGAAGUAACUGAAGGAAAUAUGCCUUAGAGGCAAUAAUAAAGUUGUUAUUUAUAUUUCCUUAUA